UACAGGGGGUGCAAACGUUGCUCGGAAUCAUUGGGCGUAAAGCGCACGUAGGCGGUCUGUUAUGUCGGAUGUGAAAGCCCUUGGCUCAACUGAGGAAGUGCAUCCGAAACUGGCAGGCUAGAGUACUAAAGAGGAUCGCGGAAUUCCCGGUGUAGAGGUGAAAUUCGUAGAUAUCGGGAGGAACACCGGUGGCGAAGGCGGUUUCCUGGCCGAGUACUGACGCUGAGGCACGAAAGCGUGGGGAGCGAACGGG
rnacentral:rRNA from 1 species